AUACUUACCUGACAGGGGAGAUACCAUGAUCUAGCAGGUGGUUUUCCCAGGGCAAGGCUCACCCCUUGCACUCUGGGCCUGCUGACCCUGCAAGGGAGAGUGAUGGAGAAAGUGGAGGAGUUAGAGCAGCAGUCAUUUAGGAAGGCAGCAACAGUAGAGAGAUC